rnacentral:rRNA from 1 species
CCUACGGGGAGCAGCAGUAGGGAAUCUUCGGCAAUGGACGAAAGUCUGACCGAGCAACGCCGCGUGAGUGAAGAAGGUUUUCGGAUCGUAAAACUCUGUUGGUAGAGAAGAACGUUGGUGAGAGUGGAAAGCUCAGCAAGUGACGGUAACUACCCAGAAGGGGAAGGCUAACUACGUGCCAGCAGUCGGGGUAAAACGUAGGUCCGGAGCGUGGUCCGGAUUUAUUGGGCGUAACGCGGGUGCAGGGGGUUUAUUAAGUUGGGUGUAAAAGGCAGUGGCUAAACCAUUGUAUGCAAUUGAUACUGGUAGACUUGAGUGCAGGAGAGGGGGGUGGAAUUCCAUGUGUAGCGGUGAAAUGCGUAGAUAUAUGGAGGAACACCGAUGGCGAAAGCGGCUCUCUGGCCUGUAACUGACACUGAGGCUCGAAAGCGUGGGGAGCAAACAGGAUUAGAUACCCGGGUAGUC